rnacentral:rRNA from 1 species
CCUACGGGGGGCAGCAGUGAGGAAUAUUGGUCAAUGGUCGGGAGACUGAACCAGCCAAGCCGCGUGAGGGAGGAAGGUACAGAGUAUCGUAAACCUCUUUUGUCAGGGAACAAAGACUGGGACGCGUCCCCGGAUGAGUGUACCUGAAGAAAAAGCAUCGGCUAAUUCCGUGCCAGCAGCCGCGGUAAUACGGAGGAUGCGAGCGUUAUCCGGAUUUACUGGGUGUAAAGGGAGCGUAGACGGCUGCGCAAGUCUGAAGUGAAAGCCCGGGGCUCAACCCCGGGACUGCUUUGGAAACUGUGUAG